AAACUGUGAGAUGCUCUGAACCUCCUCUAAGGUGCUGAGUGCCAGGGGGCAGUGAUCUCCAGCCAGUGUAAAUUUUCAUAGCUCCAUUGACUUCAGUCUCAGUAUAGGCUUGAGCCUUAUAUGUUAUGCCCUCAAAGCAUUGGACUAGGCUCAAUGCUACAAACCUUCACUGCAAUUGUGUGUAUUGUAGUGGAACUGUAAAUAAGGCAAUUCGGCUUCUAGUACUGGCAGUUCCUUCCACUUCCUUUACAAAAGGGGAAAAAAUACUGACAAUUGAAAACUAAAAAUAAAGGCUGACCAACUAUUACAGGAAGAGCUGAGUCCUAGUACUUCCCUGUCUGAGAUAAAACUUUUCAAAAUAUUUGCAAUAGAAAAUACAAUUUAUCCUAAAACCUUCAAUUCAGUUUGCUGUGAAAUACCUUGAUCAUUACUGUUAAAUAACUGGUCACAAAUAUAAUUAAAGUCAAAGUACAAUGCAAUGAUAAGGUUGGUAUUUUACAGACAUGAAGGUCAGGAAAUUCACAGUCCUGGUUACUCUAGCAGUCAAACUUUGCCUUGUUUUAGGUGUGUGGUAUAUGUUAUUGCUCUAUGUGGUGUCAGCUUUAAUGCUAAAUUCUGUGUGUACAAUGUGCUGGGGAGACCGUAAUUGUGUAACUCCUGAAUUUUUCAGAUUUCAUAUGUCAGACUAUUCACACACACACACACACACACACACAGAGUUUUCCUGGACUUUUGUUUUGUUUUUUUAGGGGGAAAAAAAAGGGGGGGAGAAAUAAUUUUGUUUAAAUGGUUGCUUCUUCCAUCCGCAAAUUUUCCAUUUAGUCAGCAUUGUUCAUGUUCCAGUGUGUGGCUGAGAAAGAAGUAAAACAGUAUUUACUUUUCAACACUGCAUUCCUUUUUCUCAUAAAGUAUACACCUCUGCUUUGUCUCUCCCUUCACUGAGGGUCCAGUCCUGGACUCAGGCCACAGCCCAAGUAAACAGGCUGUGCAAUGGAGAGCUCUGUAGACAUCAGGGAGAAAGAGAACCCUCCCUCAUAGGCUGCAGUGUGGUGGCAGAGCUGCUCUGUGGUAUUGCUACUGCAGAUUUAAUAGUCCCAUAACUGCUGCCCUCUCCUCACCUCUUCUAAGGGGAGGGGUUAGUGGAGGUGGGUAGAAAUUGAUCUGCCUGCCCCAGGACACCCUUUAGAUUAUGAGAAACUUUGGGUGUGGCCUCCCUUCCUGGGCUUCAGUACGUUGCCUUCAUGCUUUCCAUGUUGCAGAAUUGCACUGGUGGAGAAGAGCAGGCUCUGACUUGUGUAGUACUUCUUUACAGAUUGUGGCUGAAGAAGGGACAGUCAUCAAAAGUCAAUGCACAGUUUCCUUCCUAUUCUCAGCAUAUAUUUAAGAUACGUUUUUUUGUUCUCUUGUUCAAAACAGCUCUCUUGUGAGUGUGCAGAUCUUUAUCCAUCUAGUCACGCAUUUUCUGUUCUGAUAGACUGUUGCCUUGUGCUUCAAAAUUAUCACUGACAAAGACAGAUACAGCCUGAAAUCAAUUCUUGGUGAAGGGUCUUAAGCCAAAAGCCAUGCAAGCUAUAUGGCAGCUAGUUGAACCAGGGUCUAUGAAGUACAGUGCAUUUAGGGAGAAGAAGGGAGGAACUUGCUCUGUCUACAUGCCUAUCUAUGUCACUACACAAUAUAGCCUUUAGACAGUAACUUCCAUUUGACGUGGUGACUUCAAAGGCUGUGUGUACAUUAGGUCCUCCAGCAGUUUGGCCAAAAUGUCACACUAAAACAGCAGGGAAGAUAUCUCUUGUAUGAGAGCAUAGUCAGAGAUGGAAAAGAGAGAAUAUUUACCCAGCUGGAAGUGGUCCCUGAAGGAGUUUCCUGUAUGGGCAAGAAUGUGCCCGAUUUUUGGUCACUGCUAUUUGAUUAUGCAAGUGGGUUCCUCCUUAAGAAAUAUUCCCUGAAUGUAGAUCGUGAUCUUGGAAAUGCGAACAGACAAGUGGUUUCUUACCAAAAUCAGUAGAGUAUAAGUCUGUGGGAGACUCCUGUCAGACAAAUAAUGAAUAUGAACCAGUCAUGUCAGUGCUCUGAAAAACAGAAAUGGCUUUUGACCAAAGAACACAGAGCCAUGAAAUGAAAACAAAGUACAAAACAGAUGAGAACAUGAAUGAGGAUGAGGACAUCAAAAUUCACAGAAGGAAGAGUACAGAAAGCAAGCUGGAGAGAGAUGAAGGAGAGAAAAAAAAUUAUUGGUUCUUUAAACACUGUUUUAACUAUUAAUCAUAUAAAAGUUGCUUAAACUAAUGGCUACAAUCUGUAAUGUAGCUAAAACUUUAAGUUGUACUGAGUAUCUGUGGAGCAAGGAGAUACAAAAGAUAAAAGUGAAGAGAGAGAACUGGUAUUUAUGGCUAUGACCUGCCUUUGGCCGCAAUUCUGUUGCACUGAAUAUAUUCCGCAUUACGAAGAGAAAGGAUGGUCAGGGUAUUAGCUUAGAAUUUUGAAGAACUGGGUUCAAUUCCCUGUUCUGCCCCAGGAACUCUCUGUGACCUUGGGCUAGUCACUUAGGGCUAAAUCCACAAAAGGGACUUAAACUUAUCAUUGCAACACCUAACUUUUUGGCACCUUGCUGCCCAUUGGAGUCCACAGCCUUUGGCCAGGAGCUUAGGCUCCCUAUAUGAUGCAUAGGAAGUUAGGUGCCUAAGAAGGGGAUUCACAAAAGCCAGCAUGCUGAGCCAGGAGUUGCCUAAGCUAGCUACCAAGGAGGGAAUUAGGUGUCUCAUGGAAGGUACCUCCCUCCACUUGAGAUUCUCUGCCAAGAGCCCUCUCCUGAAGUUAAGUACCUAAGGCAGGUCAGCCCUUUCUCAUGUAGAAUGGGAGAGGAAGAUAUGGUAGUUGAAUUCAGGUUUCCUAUCUCCCAUGAGUGCCCUAACCACUGGGCUAUGGACUGUUUUGGGGCAGACUUUCUCAGUCUCUUCUGUUGAAAAUGUUCCACUGUGUAUGAAAUAAUUAAAUAGUUCAAAUAGGGUCAGAUUGGCUCUAUAGCCCAGUGGUUAGACACCCUCCGAGGAAGUGAGAGAAUCAGGUUUCAAUCCCUGCAGAACUGUAAAGUGCAGAAUAUGCAGAGUCCAUUUGCUGGAUGAGUUAUUGCUAAAUAACUCAGGCUACCCAAGUGUCUACCUACCCAGCUGUUGGCCGACAACAACUGGAAAUACAAAAUUGGUUCCAGCUCACAGGUCUCCUGAAAGAAAAGGAAGUCAAAUACAUAAACAGUAUUUUCACAUAAGAUGACAGUCACACAGGGCCUACUGGCUCACAAGGCUCUAAUCUCAUUCAGCUGGUAGGCAGACCUUCUUAUGACUAAGGACAGUUUUUUCCACAGGAACAAGUGCAUCUUCUCUAUUGUGUUUGUGUUGUGUUUGUCACUUCCUUCCAACUGGUGGCAUGACAUUUUCUCCCAGCACCUCCCUCCAGGAGUAUGAUUCUGCUUCUUCAAUACAGGCUGCAACAAUUUUCCUUCCUUUUUCCUAUUAUGCUGCUUUCAAUAUGUAGGUGAUAUUCCUCUGAAGUUCUGUUGCAUCCAACCUGGCUAGUGCAGUUGAUCUUUUCCCAGGGAUUGGCUGCAGUUGGAGAUUGGGUCAGUGCUAGCAUGCUGAGACUGAGGGAAUGUUGGUUUCUCAGGGGAAAACAACCAGAGGACGUAGCAACAGUUACAGUAGCUCUCUGAAGAGAGGGAAUUUUCUUGCCUUUUGUUUUUCAGUUUGGAGGUCGCAAAGAAUCUUCAGAUGAUCUGCCCUUAUUAUUGGAGUGAAAUACUGCAAUUGUAGUCCACAAGAGAGAAGCCCAAAAGAGAAACAAAUGGUAUUAAAAGUAUCAGCUCCUCAAGGCAUGUGCCUUUCCCAAGCACAACUAGCCUGAAGGUCUGCACAUCAGCUAAAAUUGAAUAUGAAGAUAAGGUUCCCGUCUUCCUAGAAGGAACAGAUUUUUUGAGCUGUGCUCUCAGCAAGAAACAGGAAAUGCACCACAAAAUUAGGAGGAGGGCAGAGAAUUAUUUCAAAAAUAGUGUGAAAAGUCUUAUUCUCUCUUUUGCUGUAAUACUAGUCUCAUGGACUCAAAGAAAUUAGAAGUGUAAAAGGUUUUAUCUAAUCCUUCCUGCUGGUAAAGGAAUAUUCACUGCAGUCCAUUUUCUGGUGCUUUUUGAGGUCUAGCUUUAAACAUCACAAGUGGCCAUCUCCAUUUUUCAGGGGAUGGGGAAAUAUUCCACAGUCUAAAAGAACUCUGUGAGCAGGCUCCCAUUUACUUCAGUUGGACGUGAAUCAGGCCCCAGGUGUUUUUCUUGACAUUCAGCCUAUAUAUUCCUGGUUUAAAAUUCAUCUUAUCAGUCCCAGUUUGAUCUUCUUGAACCAUUCUAAUCUUCCCUUUCAUUCUUUGGGUUUACACCCUCUGAAUGUAACAUUCAGACAUGUAGACAUAUUGAUCAUUUCAUGACGCAGUGCUAGUCUACUCCAGCUGUGUUUGCUUAGGGUGGCAAUUGGAUAUUUGAAUGGCUUAGCCACUUGGUUAAGCUUAGUUUAUUCUCCACUUCACAUUUCAAUCAGUAUCAUUUU